AUGAACGCUGGCGGCGUGCCUAACACAUGCAAGUCGAACGGAGAUUAACGCUGAUGAGGCUUCGGCGGAAUCUGUUAAAUCUAGUGGCGGACGGGUGAGUAACGCGUGGGCAACCUGCCUCAUACUGGGGGGAUAACAGUUGGAAACGACUGUUAAUACCGCAUAAGCGCACUAAAGUCGCAUGACUCAGUGUGAAAAACUCCGGUGGUAUGAGAUGGGCCCGCGUCAGAUUAGCUAGUUGGUGGGGUAAAGGCCUACCAAGGCGACGAUCUGUAGCCGGACUGAGAGGUCGGACGGCCACAUUGGGACUGAGACACGGCCCAAACUCCUACGGGAGGCAGCAGUGGGGGAUAUUGCACAAUGGAGGAAACUCUGAUGCAGCGACGCCGCGUGAGUGAAGAAGUAUUUCGGUAUGUAAAGCUCUAUCAGCAGGGAAGAAAGGCUCGCAAGAGAGAUGACGGUACCUGACUAAGAAGCCCCGGCUAACUACGUGCCAGCAGCUGC
rnacentral:rRNA from 1 species